UACGGGGGGGGCAAGCGUUGUUCGGAAUUACUGGGCGUAAAGGGCGCGUAGGCGGCCUACUAAGUCAGACGUGAAAUCCCCCGGCUUAACCUGGGAACUGCGUCUGAUACUGGAAGGCUUGAGGAUGGGAGAGGGAUGUAGAAUUCCAGGUGUAGCGGUGAAAUGCGUAGAUAUCUGGAGGAAUACCGGUGGCGAAGGCGGCAUCCUGGACCAUUACUGACGCUGAGGCGCGAAAGCUAGGGGAGCGAACGGG
rnacentral:rRNA from 1 species